rnacentral:lncRNA from 1 species
AGGGAGGGAAUGGGAGGACGCUUGCGGGGUAGGGAGGCGGGGGCUGGAAAUUGGCAGGGUGAGAACUGGGGAAACUAGUCUGGGACGCAGCCCUCCUUGUACCCCUUCUUCAUUCACCCCCUUGUUGAGGCCCUUGGCUUUUGCAUAAUACACCCUUUAAAAAAAUGUAUUUAAAGAGGCUGGUUCCUAUCCAUCCGACUGGAGGCAUCUCAGUGCAAGAGCAAAGCUAAGUCCUGCACACACACCUCCCCUCCUCCUCAUCCUUCUCCUCCUCCUCCUCCUCCUCCUCUCCCCCCCCCCCAAGGUUUUCCCGAAUGUACCUACUCCGGUUACAACUAGACGCGGCCCCUCCCCCACCUGCCUCCCCCCUUCCUUCCCUCGAUCGUGGAGGGAGCGUUCUCUGUGCCUUCCCAAGUCCCCGUGGGGGACCUUCUAUGUUGGAGUGGGGUGAGGGGGGGAGGGUCAUAUAACGAAGGCCAGAAAGAACAAAUUAGAUAAUCAAAAGAAUUAUAGUAAUUGCUUUCACUUUCUCCCGCCCGCUCAGCGGAUUCCCUCCCCCGCCCCUCCCCUGG